AAAAUUAGAGUGUUCAAAGCAGGCAGAUCCAAUUUUCUGCCACCGAAUACAUUAGCAUGGGAUAAUGGAAUAGGACCCUGUCCUCCUAUUUUCAGUUGGUUUUGGCAGCGCGAGGACUAGGGUAAUGAUUAAUAGGGAUAGUUGGGGGCAUUAAUAUUUAAUUGUCAGAGGUGAAAUUCUUGGAUUUAUGAAAGAUUAACUUCUGCGAAAGCAUCUGCCAAGGAUGUUUUCAUUAAUCAAGAACGAAAGUUAGGGGAUCGAAGACGAUCAGAUACCGUCGUAGUCUUAACCAUAAACGAUGCCGACCAGCGAUUAGGAGACGUUGAAUACAAAACACCACCAUCGGCGCGGUCGUCCUUGGCGUCGGUCCUUCACGGGGCCGGCGCGAGGGCG
rnacentral:rRNA from 1 species